rnacentral:lncRNA from 1 species
GAUAGCAAAGACAGCUUGACGUAUGGUCAGGCGAUGCUGAGCUUCGGCUUUUUCGAAGGCUCGUCUCUCCGCCUUUCUGAUUUUUAGAAAUUCAACAUGAGGGGAGGCGAUAAUGAAAAAAAUGGAAAUCGGUACUAGAAUUAGAACAAAUGAAGAUAGGCAAAAAUUUAAAAAAGAAAUUAUUUUAAAGGGGGGGGGUGUGUGUGCAGGAGAGGCGCAGCCCUCCGGGACGAGGACAGACGGUCGGGCGGCGAGGGGAGGAGCCGAGGAGUAGCCUCCCGGGAGAGUCCUGUUUACACUUGAGGAUCCCAAACCGCUUAGCAGAGGAAAGGGUCAUUCUGGGGAUCGAACCCAGGGCUUUGUGCAUGCCAGUCACACGCCUCGCCACUGCGCUGUUAGUCCAGCCUGCAGCCUGCCUCUCUGCCCACAGCCAACCCCUGCAAUUUGUAAUUAGAAUGUCAGAGCCGAGCCCCAGCUGCUGCUUUCCUUCCUCCAGGCGGCUGCUGUGCACUUCACCUCAGGUGUGUUUACAACGUUCACACGACACAGCCCACGGCUGAUCCAGGGGACCAGCACGGGGAAACUAAGCGGCUAGUGAAAAUGGACAAAGACGCACUUGACCUAGCAAGUUAAAGACUUACAAAAGGAUAAUGAGCAAGUGGCAGUGCGGUCGGUGGACCUUCCAGGUGACUUUUAUAGGCUGUCUGCUCCAGUCUCUCUCAACUGCUCCAUCAUGGAUGCCUGCUGAAGUCCCGCCCACCAACCACAUAGCUGGAACUCUGGCUGCUCCCAGGUCUAGCACAGGAAACACUCAAACAGGACUGAAAUCACCCUGUGUUUCCUCUCUUGGUUGAUGGCACUUUCCUCCAUGCAAAAUUAGACCUCGUUUUUUCUUCCUUAACCUAGUCCCUCGAGCUUGCGUUUGGUCCCCACCCCCCUGACCUGCAUGUGCUCAGAGGUUCAAGAUUAAGUGAUGUGAAGCUUCGCCACCUCACAAUUGUC